GCGUCUCAUGGUGAAUGGGACAUUCUGCACUUCAAAUAGAAGAUCUUGUAUCGCUUUCAUUGUUAUUACAAGCAAAUCUGCCUCCUUCACUUCAAGGUCAAUUUGGCAAUCCAAAUCUCAGCAUACCAUUGUUGAUUUGCCCAAUGUCUUCUUUAUGAUUUUUUGGGUGGUUUCUGAUUAUCUGCUCUUGCAAACAAUGCUUCAACAGAGAUCUCAGUAGAGGUUGCUGAGAGUUGCAUGAAGACUGAUACCUUGUUGCAGGUUUCAACCAGACAUACCAACGGUGACAGGGAAGAUGCCUCCACCUGCAUCUUCCACCUGCUCAUGGCUCU
rnacentral:lncRNA from 1 species